GAAAACGGGUGGUAAUGCCGGAUGCUCCAGUUGAUCGCAUGGUCUUCUGGGAAAGCUUUCGCGGUAUGGGAUGGGGUCGCGUCCUAUCAGCUUGACGGCGGGGUAACGGCCCACCGUGGCUUCGACGGGUAGCCGGCCUGAGAGGGCGACCGGCCACAUUGGGACUGAGAUACGGCCCAGACUCCUACGGGAGGCAGCAGUGGGGAAUAUUGCACAAUGGGCGCAAGCCUGAUGCAGCGACGCCGCGUGAGGGAUGGAGGCCUUCGGGUUGUAAACCUCUUUUAUCGGGGAGCAAGCGAGAGUGAGUUUACCCGUUGAAUAAGCACCGGCUAACUACGUGCCAGCAGCCGCGGUAAUACGUAGGGUGCAAGCGUUAUCCGGAAUUAUUGGGCGUAAAGGGCUCGUAGGCGGUUCGUCGCGUCCGGUGUGAAAGUCCAUCGCUUAACGGUGGAUCCGCGCCGGGUACGGGCGGGCUUGAGUGCGGUAGGGGAGACUGGAAUUCCCGGUGUAACGGUGGAAUGUGUAGAUAUCGAAAAAAAACACCA
rnacentral:rRNA from 1 species